rnacentral:lncRNA from 1 species
GGCGGCUCUUCUUUCUUCCACUCUGAGACAAGAACACAUGCGCUUUUCCUGUAAGUGUUGUCUCCCCAGUUAUUCUGGAGACCAUCCAGAAGAGAAUGAGAAUAAAGAAACCAACAGAAGAAAGAUAAAGAAGGAAGAAUAAAAGAUACCAAAAUGACAGUUAUCGCUUGCUUCGGAGAGUUUCGCUCUUGUGGCCCAGUCUGGAGUGCAGUGGCACCAUCUCAGCUCAUUGCAACCUCCGCCUCCCCGGUUCAAGCGAUUCUCCUGCCUCAGCCUCCCGAGUAGCUGGGAUUACAGGCACCCGCCACCAUGCCCAGCUAAGUUUUUGUAUUUUUAGUAGAGACGGGGGUUUCACCGUGUUAGCCAGGAUGGUCUUGAUCUCCUGACCUCGUGAUCCGCCUGCCUCGGCCUCCCAAAGUGCUGGGAUUACAGGCGUGA